rnacentral:lncRNA from 1 species
GCGAAUUCAAAGUGUCGGCUGAGAUUGUAUGACUCGCCGGCGAUUUUAUAAAGCGACGAUGCACGACUUCUGUUCGCUUGACACGUGUGUUUACAUUAAUCGUCCAGUUACUGAUAAGGUUCUGACAACUGGGUACGUGCUCAACCGUCAGAUUUUAAUGAGGAUUAACAGCCCUUUAAGGCUAUGCCACGUGUGUGGGCCGUUAGUGGACCCAGCCCACCUUUUGUCUGUUAAUUUUAAGACGCACGUGCUGAAGGGGAGAGUGGUUGACACGGAGAACGGGAUGAGCCGGAGCGUGAAGGAGACGGAGCGGAAGAGGAAGGCGUUGGAGAUAUAGGGUAACUGCCACUCAACGACCUAUCGGUCAAUUUUACCUUUCUUGUUUUAAUGUGUAAAUUUUUUUUAAUGAAAUGGGAUUGGAUGUGGUUGUUGUGGAGUUCAUUGCCAUCAAGCUGGACCGACCAAUCAGAUCAGACAGCUGUUGAGGAAAGUAUCCAGUUUCCCACAUUCGACGGUCUCGAUCUUUUCCGGUGGACCCGACCACAGUUUGCUUUUCUAAGCGCGUGAUUAAUUAACUAUAAUGACAUACUUAGUGAUAGAGUUACAGAACCGAACCGACACGUCUCAAACCAAACCAAGUUUCCAAACCGAAAUACACAACGUAAUUGAUUACGUAGAAUCUUAAUUGUUUCUUUUCUGCAUUUUGUUUUAGUUGAUAAUAAGGAGGAGAGAAUAGGUCUUCCUUGUAUAUAGGAAACCCUUCUCCUCCACUUUCCCUUAAUUCCCAUGUUGAAAGGAGUUUACGACUCCGCUUUGUUUCUGUAUCUUCUCUAUUUAAAUGAAUGAAAAAGCCAAAAAGAGGCAAUCUUAAUUGCCCAAAGUAAAGUUUUAUUGUUCUUAGUUUGUUCUAAAGCUUUGAAGGAGUUCAUAGCUAUCACUUUAGUUAGUCUCCUAAUAACAUAAAUAACUAAUGGUUGCCUACCUGAAACCUAAUUGUCCAAGUUGCCAUAUAUAGAUCUUUUAGUAACUAAAACUUUUCUGGCCCAUACUCUUUUUCCUCUUUGGUAAAAUUUUGAUAAAUUGUUGUUUCGUCAACUACACCUGUUAACUUAAGGUAUUGCAUAAGCAGCUUGCGUGUUCGGAUAGUUCAAAAUUUGGGUAGGUCGGUUCGACCAAAAAAUCUCGCCGAAUUGAACUGAAAGUCCGAAUUGAACUGAAAGCUCCGUUUUAAUUUCUUACUAAAACUAACCUAAGUUUUUGAUUUGAUUAUAUUUCAGUUCAAAAUUCGAUUAGAAUCGUGUAAUUUUGGUUAGUUAGCUUUUACCAAAAAAAUCGGUUAGUUCGACUGAAAAUUUUGGUUAAUUCGGUUCAAAAUUAGAUUAACAAAAAUAAAUCUUUUUCUUUUAAAAAACCAAAACUAACCGAUUACAAAACCGAACCGAAAACCAAAAUUUUGUUUUAAACCUGUCAAAUCCAACCGAACUAAUCAAACUAAUCAAAUUUCAAUUCAGUUCGGUUUAAAAUCUCCGUACUAGUAUUGCUAGUGCUGACUCCGUUAACAUGGCGAGGACCAAACCCACAAAAGUGAAAUCUCUAGACUCGGGUGUUAAAAAACUGAAAUGUGGGUGUGACUCGAGAGAGUACAGUUGCCUACGGUGAAUAAAAACUAUCAUCUGUGACACUUCACGUGCUCGCCUUAACUUUUUAGUUAUUCCAGGUAUUUUCUCUACCUAUUCACUCGUCCCUUUGCUUUUUGUCUUCCAUAUGAAUACUAACAUUAUCCUCACAGGUGCUACUGUUGUCAUCAAGUUUCACACUGGAUACAAAAGUAGAUCCAAAUGGCUCAAAACUGUUACUCAUGAUUUAGGUGAGUGUGAUCCAUCUUCCUUCCCAGAUCCACGCAGUUUCCAGACUUGGAAAAGACAUUUGACGUCAAGCUAGUACAUGUGCCUGACCUCUACAGAUGCUAUCACAAUUAGACCAAUAUAGGCAAACGUAUCAAACUUGUUUCCUCUACCAACGGCUUCCUCUACACAUCAGGGAAGAUCAGGUGACAGGGUCACAGUUCAAGAACAUAGCAAGCAGCGUGGUGUCAACAUUUCAACCAAAAAAAAAUUAAACAGAAAUAGUAAAUUUCUUGAAAAAAACUUUUGUUUUUUCAUGGUCGUCGUUUGGGUGUUCAGACACAGAACCAAGCAAGACUCUCCACAUUGUGUCUCACUCUCACGUUCUCACUAUGUAAUAAAUAAUGAUGUUUGCAUCAUAUUAUAGGUAAAGGUUCUCAUGUUUUUGGUACAACAGUAGUGUGAUCACACUUGAAUACUUCAUAUGAAAUGUAACAGCAGUGACACAAAUGAAAAUGGCAGAGAGAAGCAUGUCUCUAUACUUUGACUAACAGAAAAAUGAAGACAAGAAAUAAAGUCAGGACUCUGGCGCCUUGGAUUGAGUUUCAGAGACAAUGAAGCUUGCAAUAUCAGCACAACAAGUAAGCUUAUCAGCUUUUUCAUCAGGGAUCUCAACGGAGAACUCUUCUUCAAUAGCCAUCACUAUCUCCACCCUAUCUAAACUGUCCAGCGACAAAUCUUUCUUAAAGUCAGCCGUUUCAGUAACCUGUAAUCAAACAGUGUUACAACAACUUUUGUCACUAAAAAGUAAAAACACUGUAUGCAAACAAGAAGAAACAGAAGCAGUGUUGUACCUUAGAGGCACUGGUCGUGUCGUACUUCUUAACCAGUUCAAUAACCUUACUCAAAACCUGAUCUUGGCCUCCUCCUGAUGUGAAAUUCAUUUUACUAAUUAAAACAUUCUCCUUCUCGAGAAGCAAAACCGAUCUGACCGGCACUCUGAGUCUCAAAUGCUGGAGGAUUGAGCUCCUAAUGCAAUGCAUCUUCCGAGUAGAACUGAAGCAAACCCACCAAAAAAAAAUCAAGCCAAGUGGAAGAAUUUUUCAGUAAAGUUUCAACCUUUACACAUAGUUAAAAGGAACAAUUGAUGUAGAGGGAAACAAAAUCAUGUUUCUACAAAUUGAACCAAGGAAGAUACGAAAUUCGAAAUUUCAAAAUGGAAGGCAUAGAUUGAUGCACAGAUAACGAAUACUCAAGCAAUAGCUUUGAUUUAACAAAGAAGCCGUACCUGAGAGGCUGCGACACUGCGAAUGAGAGUUUCUUUCUAUUUUCUAGGUCGUAUUCCUUCCUUUGGAGCGGAAGAUAGGAGAGAGGGAGAGAGUCUUUAUCUUCGGCCCACUUGUAAAUAUAUAUGGGCUGAAAAGGUUUUAUAUGUUGGCCCAAUAAGCCUUUUGGAAAGGCUUUUCAUUUUUUAUGAAUGUGGGGCCACUAUAGUGUUCAUCCUUCCCUCACUUCUAAAAACGGACAUGCGGUGGUUUUCUUAUAAAAUAAAUUUCCCGAUUUAGUAAGACUGUUUAAUCUUUCAAUGUAGGGUAUUAACAGGGCCUGCCCUUGGCUAAAGCGGGCAAAGUUCUUGAGGCGCCAAAAUUAUGUUAUAUAUUUUAAGGGUAGUAAUUUUGUUACAAACCACAGUGGUGUACUGAUUGUUGCUAUUUGUGUUACAGAGGUGGUGGCUUCGAUUUUUUACUCUUAUAAUUUUAUAGGCUAUAUAUUUUAUUGAUAGAUUUAAAGUUUUUGGGCUUCAGGCGCCACAAGGUGCUGGAUCGGGCCUGAGUAUUAAUAGGGCAAAUAACUCACAAACUUCGUCUCUUUUAAAAAAAAAAAAAAAAUGCUCUAGUGGAUGCCAUGGGAUGAAUACACAAAGCAACCAUUCGUACAGAAUCAUGAGCUACUAAGAUAUAUGACAGCCAUCUGCUCUGCUAAAGCCAACGGAGACUACGAAGGCUUCACUCCUCUCCGUGUCUCUGCACCUGAUCAACAAGGCAACUUGUACUUCAACACCCGCGACCUCCGUUAACCUUCUUUCUGACAACAAGCAAAGCAAGUCUCUACAGUUUUCAUCAAAGCUGGUUCCUUUGUAAGCAUAUUGACACUUGAAUCUUCUCAACUCUCUCACCCAAAAUACCAAACCAUCCCAAAUGAGACUAUUUUCAUUCAAAUCCAAUAGUUUAAAUACAAGACUAAACGGAGCAGAUCCGUUAGCUAAUCAAUAAUCAUAUUGUUUCAAAUACACACUUGCUCUCUCUUUACAUAGCCUCAAAGUUUAGUUUUACAUAACCAAGAUGAUACUUAAAUAGUUUUACAUGUUUAUAAAUGUAUCUAUAUACAGAGCUCCUCUUUCACCAAUCUCUUUUAAGUUCUAGUCCUACCGGAGCCAGCUCCUCGUCCACCGUCACCCCCACCACCGCCUGUGGAACCAUACAUAUGGUUCUGUUGGUGAAGAAACUGAUGAUGCUGGUGAUACUGCAUCCCACCACCGUAGAAUCCACUGCCAUCGCCCACACCUGCAUCUCUCUGAUGCUCUCCACCUUCACCACCUGUCUGUGGCCUCCCCACCCCAGCCCUCUCCCCUUCGAUCUCCCUAAACCUCUGCAAGUAAACCUUCAGCGGCUCAACGUAAUCCUCGAACCCUAGAGUGGUCAUAGCCCAGAGCAAAUCGUCGCCGUUGAUCGUCUUCCUCUUCUCCUUCUGGCACUUAUCCGACGCCUCUCCCGUGACGAAGCUUAUAAACUCAGAGACGCACUCCUGCAUCGUCUCUUUAGCAUCUUUGGAUAUCUUGGCGUUCGCUGGCAAGGCCUUCUUCAUGAUCCUGCUCACGUUAGCAAUCGGUAGGAACCUGUCUUGCUCUCUGGGAGACAACGGAGACUGUCCGUUUUGCCCUCCACCGGAGUCCUUGUCGGAAUCCCCCAUUUAUGAAAACUACUACGAAAUUAUAGAAAAAAAUAAACAGAAACUUCACUCUUUUUCAAAUCAUCAUGGCUUCACCAUUGAUGAUGGUUGACUGAAGCGAGAAAAUUAGGGAUUUUGGAAAGCGAAUUCAAAGUGUCGGCUGAGAUUGUAUGACUCGCCGGCGAUUUUAUAAAGCGACGAUGCACGACUUCUGUUCGCUUGACACGUGUGUUUACAUUAAUCGUCCAGUUACUGAUAAGGUUCUGACAACUGGGUACGUGCUCAACCGUCAGAUUUUAAUGAGGAUUAACAGCCCUUUAAGGCUAUGCCACGUGUGUGGGCCGUUAGUGGACCCAGCCCACCUUUUGUCUGUUAAUUUUAAGACGCACGUGCUGAAGGG